UGAAUUCUCUUAAGGAGCCACACGUGGACAGCUCUCCCACAGUGUCUCCACCCCACCAGAGAAGAGAUUCUGACAGGUAUUGCCAGCUCUGUGCAGCUUGGUUUAACAACCCAAUGAUGGCACAGCAACACUAUGAUGGAAAAAAGCACAAAAAGAAUGCAGCCAGGGCUGAUCUACUAGAGCAGCUAGGGAAGACAUUGGACCUAGGCGAGGUAAGAGGUCUGAAGCAGACAUACACUUGCAACACCUGUAACGUCACUCUAAACUCAAUAGAACAGUAUCACGCACACUUGAAGGGCUCGAAACAUCAGAACAACCUGAAGAAUCAGUAGACAAUCAUCCAAGAAUGAAGUUCGACCUCUAAUACUUCUUCAAACACCAGGGACAGAUGCUUUUUUGGACAAUGAGCACUUCCUAUGUGACAUCAUACAUGUUUAGCUAAUCUUUGCUUUGAGCAAUGAAUGGAUUUUACUUUUUAUUUUUAUUUUGUGGUGAGUAAGAAGAUUCAGAUGGAUUUUUUUAUACCCUUUGGAGAUAGAGUCUAUAUAUUCGACAUAAAAUCAAGAGUAUGUUUUAAAAUGUAAGAUAUAUCACCCAUCUUCGGAGGCCAAUGGAAUAAAGUAUUUUUCUUUUUUCAUAUUUAUUCCCUGAUUUAUUCAGAGAGUAUAAGAUCCUAUGAAAUUAUCUA